rnacentral:lncRNA from 1 species
GGGAAGGCACAGCAGGCUUCAGUCCCAAGUGCCACAGCACUGACAGGGAGCUAUGUAAGUCAGGCGGUGAGUUGGCGCUGGAUGGGCUGUGCAGAUGGGAGGGAGGCCUGGCAGAGCACAGAUGAGGCUAUGAGCGUGCUAGGCUGCUGGGGAGAGGGCAGGUCUCUGGCAGGACCUCUGGCAGGAGGAGUUGCUUGGGAAGGAAGUUUUAGAGACAGUGAGCAGAGAGCACACUCAAAGGAGGACAGGCACCUUGCCCAUGUCACAGUCCCUUCACCUGGCUUCCCUUGGCUGAGGCUCUCGGUACAUAGGAUGUGCUUAUAGUUACGUUCACUGCAGUCUGGGGACUGAGGGUGGCGGCGAUACCCUGUCUCGGUGUUAAACCUGUAUCUGUGUUUGUGAGCCUCCCCAGUCUGUGGUCUGCCCCCUCAUCUCUGUUGGAAUGGGCCUGCUGAGGACUGCCUUGCAGGAGGCUGGAGGUUGGCAGCCAGACAGGGAGCAGCAGGAGUACUUGGUAAUAGAAGCCAUGGGGUUAUGGCUGCUCUAAGGAGCCAUGUGUGUGCCCACCCUUCUAACAGUGUCUGUCGGUCUGUAACCAUGACCUGGGCAGAAAUCUGAGGAGACUGGGCGUGGUGGUACAUGCCUUUAACCCCAGCAGUCAGGUAGUGAAUUCCAGGCCAGCCUGCUCUGCAAGGUGAGAUCCUGCCUUUAAAAAAAAGAAAAAUAA